GCUCUGAUAACUUAACGGUUAAAGUGCAGUAUUGAAGCUGCUGAGAUAUUGGUUCGAUUCCAUUUCAGAGCA
rfam:Schizosaccharomyces pombe complete mitochondrial genome